UCCGGUUGAUCCUGCCAGAGGUCACUGCUAUCGGGGUUCGAUUAAGCCAUGCGAGUCGAGAGGGUUCGGCCCUCGGCGUACUGCUCAGUAACACGUGGAUAACCUGCCCUAAGGAAGGGGAUAACCUCGGGAAACUGAGGAUAAUACCCUAUAGGAUACCGAUGCUGGAAUGCCCGGUAUCCCAAAGCUCCGGCGCCUUAGGAUGGAUCUGCGGCCGAUUAGGUUGUUGUUGGGGUAAUGGCCCAACAAGCCCGUAAUCGGUACGGGUUGUGGGAGCAAGAGCCCGGAGUUGGAUUCUGAGACACGAAUCCAGGCCCUACGGGGCGCAGCAGGCGCGAAAACUUUACAAUGCGGGCAACCGUGAUAAGGGAACCUCGAGUGCCUGUAAAUGCAGGCUGUUCAGGUGCCUAAAACACACCUGAAGAAAGGGCCGGGCAAGACCGGUGCCAGCCGCCGCGGUAAUACCGGCGGCUCGAGUGGUGGCCGCUUUUAUUGGGCUUAAAGCGUUCGUAGCUGGGUUGUUAAGUCUCUUGGGAAAUCUGGCGGCUUAACCGUCAGGCGUCUAAGGGAUACUGGCAAUCUUGGAACCGGGAGAGGUGAGGGGUACUUCGGGGGUAGGAGUGAAAUCCUGUAAUCCUCGAGGGACCACCUGUGGCGAAGGCGCCUCACCAGAACGGCUUCGACAGUGAGGGACGAAAGCUGGGGGAGCAAACCGGAUUAGAUACCCGGGUAGUCCCAGCCGUAAACUAUGCGCGUUAGGUGUAUCGGUGACCACGAGUUACCGAGGUGCCGAAGGAAACCGU
rnacentral:rRNA from 1 species